GUUAUCCCUGAACUGUCAGGACUCUGAGCUGCUUGGAUGAAUGAAUUGCUUCAUAAAGGCUUCUGUGAAGUCAAAGAGAGGGUCUCAGUCUUGAAGGGAACACCUGGCAAGAAAUACUAAUCAUCAGGUGGACUUACGUCUUCUUUUGGCAAAGAAUUGAACACUCUGGUCAUCAAAAACRUGUUACCUGCCCCUCUGUUUGUGCCAUGAUGCGACGUCUGCCUUGCUUGGAAUACAUCUGUACGUGCUGUGGAGGUGCCAGGCAGUGAAAGGGACUUGCAUGCAAGUUAGACCACCUAGGCUGUCACCUCUGCUUUUGUUGUAUGUGGGCUGUAUAUAAAACACGUC